rnacentral:rRNA from 1 species
CCUACGGGAGGCAGCAGUAGGGAAUAUUGCUCAAUGGGGGAAACCCUGAAGCAGCAACGCCGCGUGGAGGAUGAAGGUUUUCGGAUUGUAAACUCCUUUUGGUAGAGAAGAGAAUGACGGUAUCUAACGAAUAAGCACCGGCUAACUCCGUGCCAGCAGCCGCGGUAAUACGGAGGGUGCAAGCGUUACUCGGAACCACUGGGCGUAAAGAGCGCGAAGGCGGGAUAGCAAGUCCGAUGGGAACUCCUAUGGCUUAACCAUAGAACUGCAUUUUAAACUGUUAUUCUAUAGUAUGGGAGAGGUAGGUGCAAUUCUUUGUGUAGGGGUCAAAUCCGUAGAGAUC